GCAAGUCGAACGGUAACAGGCCGCAAGGUGCUGACGAGUGGCGAACGGGUGAGUAAUGCAUCGGAACGUGCCCAGUCGUGGGGGAUAACGCAGCGAAAGCUGCGCUAAUACCGCAUACGAUCUAUGGAUGAAAGCGGGGGACCGUAAGGCCUCGCGCGAUUGGAGCGGCCGAUGUCAGAUUAGGUAGUUGGUGGGGUAAAGGCUCACCAAGCCAACGAUCUGUAGCUGGUCUGAGAGGACGACCAGCCACACUGGAACUGAGACACGGUCCAGACUCCUACGGGAGGCAGCAGUGGGGAAUUUUGGACAAUGGGCGCAAGCCUGAUCCAGCAAUGCCGCGUGCAGGAAGAAGGCCUUCGGGUUGUAAACUGCUUUUGUACGGAACGAAACGGUCUGAGUUAAUACCUCGGGCUAAUGACGGUACCGUAAGAAUAAGCACCGGCUAACUACGUGCCAGCAGCCGC
rnacentral:rRNA from 1 species